CUUGGAGCACGGACCAAGGAGUCCAACAUGUGCGCGAGUCUAAGGGUUUGAUAAACCUGGAGGCGAAAUGAAAGUGAGCUCCUUUUUUGGGGCAGGCCGAUCCCUUGUCAGGAACUUGGCUUUGCAGGGUUGUUUGAUUGGCGAGAAAUUGUCUUUUUCGAGCAACUUUUGUGGAGUUUUUGUUUUUGGCUGUUGGAUUGCCUGCAGCAAUGUGGGUGAUCUGAUAUUGGGCGCAGGCCGAGGACUUGCCAUAGUGCGGCGCGGGCAACGGGUUGCUCUCGGGCUUCCUUAUCCCGAUGUCCGCCGGCAAGUACCUGAGAGCGCAGCCGUUGGGACCCGAAAGAUGGUGAACUAUGCCUGGCGAGGACGAAGCCAGAGGAAACUCUGGUGGAGGUCCGAAGCAGUUCUGACGUGCAAAUCGAUUGUCAGAAGCUGGGUAUAGGGGCGAAAGACUAAUCGAACCAUCUAGUACUGGG
rnacentral:rRNA from 1 species